ACCCUGCCAGAGAUGCAAUUGUUUUCCAGGUCGUAUCUCCGGUUGCUCUGCGGCCUAACAUCGUGGAGCUGGAGGCCUUGCUCGGGACUGACUUUGAGCUCCACCGCGCGGCGUGGACUUACAAUCGGAGCCAACCCCUUGCCUGGGAUCGCUCCAACCGCGGCCUAUGGACUAUACCAUUGAGAGCUCGCAGUCUCGGGUAGAGACCGUGGAUGUUGGGAGCUCCAACGACGCAGAAGGUUUGACAAGCCUGACCCGGUGUCAGAUCGCUCGGCAGCGGGGAGCUGAGACUCCCCCCACUUGGAGCUUGAUCGCCCCGAUGCCGGCUAUGGGAGUAAGAUUGUCCCAUCAACGGAAGGCACAAGGCCCUCGACCACGGGAGAACAAUGAAGGGAAGAUAUUGAACUUUUUUUACCUUCCAUCACAGUGGGGAAUGUGGAGGAGUCACUGUGGUGGAUGUUUAUGUUAAAAUGUAUUUUCUGUGUUCUGUUGCUUUUUAUUUUUAUCACUGACUUGGCAAAUGAAAUUCCUCGUAUGUUGCAAAACCUACUUGGCUAAUAAAGUAUUAUUGUAUUGUAUUGUAUUGUAUUGCAUUGUACAAUUGAAAGUACAUUGUAGUGCAUGAUGACAUUUCAUUAUGCUGUGCUAACCUGAUAAAGAGGAACAAUGCUGUUGGCAAAAAUGCAAAUUCCUCCCAAUUUUGCAAUUCUUGGUGCAUUCCUGCAACAAUAUGUUGGACACAUCUCAUUCGUUCACAGAAUAUUUUUCAUCUGCUACCUGAUCACAUUUUUGUUCAUGAUCCAUUUCACAUCACCACAAGUCUGCAGAUAAUUCUUUUUGGCCAUUCCUUUCUAAGUGGUUGUGUCUCUGUAGGUGCAAGCGUGCAGCAUUGCAUAAACUUUGGCUGAGCUGUUAUGAUUUUUGCCUCUGUAUGUCUAGUUUCAAUUCCCAUUCCAGAAACCUGAGUACCAAAUGUAUAAUGAUGUUCUGAGGGGGCAAUAUAUGGUUGGAAGUGCUUCCUCUGAAUGAGAUCUGGUCUCCCCUGUACUCUCUCAGGUGGAUGCAGCUGCAUUAUUUCACAGAAGAGCAGGAAAGUUAUCACUGCUGUCCUGAGCUGUAAUUGCCCCUCACUCACCUUUACUAAGGCAAUUAUCAGGGUGUUGUGCUGCCUCGGGGGAAGUUGUUCGUCGGAGCCGCUGUGUCAAUUAUGCAGGCGCGCAUCAGGGAGUGGAUCUGCCGGGGCCUGCAAGAAUGUGGGUGUCACACUGCUGUCUGCAGAAGUUUACUGAAUGCAGAAUUGCUUACCAUGAAAUCUGAAAAACUGCACAAAACCAAAAGCCUUGAAGUACUGUGUCAAAUACAUCAAUUUAUUUUAUCCAACUAGACUUUCAGAGGAAAAUUUUGCACAGUACCUUUCCAUGGUUGUUAUUGGAUGCGUUAGAUGGAAAAUGGAUGGAGGCAAGCUGGCGAGAUGAAGGUAAAAUGGAAGUGGAAGAUGUUGGAGUAGAAAAGGAGCUCCAAGGUAAGGUAGUUCAAACUCAGGAGGUAUGAUACUGGAAGGUCUUAUCUCCAAUCCUAGGUGAUGCAGAUGUCCAUGUAGUGAGGAUGGUGCAAAUGGAAACUCGAGGCAUUGUGAAAAAACCUUCUGCUCUACCUGGGCCACCUACAUUACAGAAGGAACAUUUGUCAUCCACAGGAAGUUGUCUUCAUAUGAAUUUAGCUUCUGAAUUUAUUAAGGUCUGGAAUACAUGGUCUGCCAAAGAUAGACAUUCAUCUUUAUGCCACAGGAUAUUACUGUGUGUUCCAAAAAGUCUUAUUUAGUUAGUGAGUAUUUUGGGAGGCACCAAGAGGAAUGUGUAUGGUGCUAUCAAAGUGCAUGCCUUCCGUUUGUAUCUGUAUGAUCCUUGAUGCAUCUUUACCUCAAAAGGUAUCCUUAUUUAUUUGACACUGAAAUCAGUAUGAUGUUGGAUGAGCUUCUGACAUUAUUCAGGUGACGGAUAAUUCUCAACUCCUCUGACUAUAAAUUGUUUUCCAACAGAAAGUGGUCCCAACAAGAUCCAUUUUCCUUCCAUUUUCUCUUGCGUAUUUCCUUGUCAAAUGCUAUCAAACGUUAAAAAAAAGAACGACCAACAACUGGGAUCAGAUGCUUCUAGUGAAAGGAUACAUUGACAUCAGACGUCUUUUUCCAAGAAGUCGUUGUUUCCAAAUUUUGGAUUCUUUCAUACAACUCCAAAGAGGGUGCUUGGUCAAUGAAGAGUGUUUCGCCUGAUUCAAUCUACUUUGAAUACAUUUUCAUGGAGUCUUAGCAACUGAGCAAUUUGACUCCAGACUUUUAGACUGAAUUUUAAUUUGUUCUAGUGACAUUUUUCCAAUGUACGACUCUUCCGAAUAACAUGAACAGCAGGGCAACACACAAUAUUCGACUGCAGUGAGAUUUUCAACAUCACUAGCUCUGAACAACGACAAUGCCUACUUUCUCUCAGAACAACUAGGUUUUGCUAAUCCCAUCCAAUUUAAAGGGCCAACACAUUGUCCUUAUUAAGCUCUGUUCGCUCCUACAAAUACAGUUUGACAUAUGUGACUGGAUAGCUUUGCUCGUGGGUAAUCUUCAACUUCCCCCACUAAUGAUCUCUGCAACAUCACCUUGUUGCAGUAGGGAAGGUAUCCAACUCCUUAUUUUAGAAGCGAUUACCAUCUAUUUUUCCUUUAGUCCGCAGGAGAGUGAAUGGGCAUUUUUUAGCAUGGCAGGCUUUUCAUUCAGACAUUGCACUCAUAUUUUCAAAGACCUGAUGACUUCCUUCCUGGACGAUUUAUUGUGACUCCUAAGCAGAAAAAAAAAACAUGCUUUCUGUAUUGUUCCAAAAUGUCCACGUCCUACUGAGCCCCGGGAGUACUCAUCCUCCAAACAUUGGAGGAUACAAUCAUUCACUGCUGAUUUUGUGGUAUGCUCGUAUCAAAAUGAAUUCCAGCAAUUGCACGUGAUUAAGAAUUUGUUAUAGUUCAUGAGGGGCACUGCCCUGAAACUGCAGCAUUGCACAGGGAAACCUAACAGUGCUUUUCUGCAAACCACACAACUGAAGAUCUUGCUGCUAACGCCACGAUUGCAUGGAGUAGUUGGUGUGACCCGCAAAAUGGUUUUGUUGCCAUUUAAGUAUGAUAUAAUAUUAAAGCCUACAUGUUAAAUCAUUAAGCUUCAAAAUGUAAUAGCUGCUGAAGGUUUUGAUAGUCUAUGUCUGGGGGAUAAAUGUGAAUUCUAUUGUUGUAUGUUGUCUUAUGUUGUCUCAACAUAAAUGCUCAAAAGAACUGAAACCUGAUUUAAUCCAACAUUUGAUGAGUCAGGUGUUUCCCUGAAGGGUCAUGGUGCAGGGUGUGUUCCAUUUCACUAGUUUGCGCAUGAUAUCUGUCGAUCUUAAGGGCAUUAUGUCUCUUUUCCUCCAAAUGAUAUACUCAAAAUACAUGAAUAAAGUGAACGUUCUGGAGCAAUCAAUGAAUUUCACUCUAUAAUCACCAUCUCCAUGGACAUAUGCAUUUACAAAAAGGAAAUUAAUUCUUAUUUUUCAAUCUGAAAAUAAACAUUUGAAGAUUACGUUCCCUUUUGGUGCCUCAAAUCAAUGGAUAUGGUGGUAUGACACAUUUUAAGAUCUUUGAGUGGAAGUGGCUCUUCUGCAUGGUUUUCAUUAAAAUUGCCAGAGGUAACACAUUUUCCAGGGUUUAACUAAUGGCAUUUGAUUAUUAGAAGAAGUUUUGUGACAAUACAAUUAGUCAUGACUGAUACUUUUUUUGACAGACAGACACAGAUUAAUCCUUAUAAUCCCAUCCUUCAGGCAUCGUUCAGACGGAUGUUAAUAAUUAGUCUUCUCAUCCCUCUUUGUUCCCAUUAGAUUUGACCCUUUUUUCCUACUAUUUAUCCAUUCCUUUCUGCUUCACAAAAGGCUGCAGUGAAAUGACUGAUAUCUACUUAAAAUGUCUUUGUUUAUCUAUUACCCAAAUCCAUAUUACUGUAGUAAUUGCCAUGAUGAAUGUUAGGAAAUAGAAAUGAAUACAAAUAAUCAAAGACGUUGCUGGUUACACUGUUCAAUUCCAAUCGUAUAAUGCCACAAGGUUCGGUGCUUAGUACCGUUUGAUUUUUUAGAUAAUAAAUUAAGGUUUGGGGCAGUGAAACAGGGAGCUUGGUUGAUUUCUGCACACACACACUUCUAUGUAAUACCACGAGGCUACACACGGUGGCAUCAUUGCCCUGCUGCUGAACAGUCUCUUCCACCAAGCCUCUGCAACGAUCCCUUUUGUCAGAGACUUUCUUUCCAAAUUCCUGUCUAUUUAUGUUAGCAUCAAUACAAGAGGGACUUGCUUUGGUCUGAUUAUUUUAAAAAAAAAACGAGUAUGUGAAGUCUUCUGUGCUUAUAAUACUAAUCACAUACUGAGCCCUAUUUAUGGGAUAAUGAUUUAUUUGAGGCCAGGUGUGCUGUGCAGGAUAUGCUCUGGCUAAAGACCCUCUAUUCAUUUGAAUGGCCCACCUGGUCCAACAAACAUCUAGCCGACAGCCUGAAAGUAAAACAAGGUCUUCGAUGUCAGACUGUAUUCCAGAUUUAAUUGGUGCCACUGUACAGCUCAAAGCCUGGUGUGCCAUUGACUGAGGAGCAGAAUCGGUGGAAAAGGAAGGAUGCUGGCGUUGCAAGGAUUUCAGCAGUAUGCCUCAGCCAGGAUCACGAGUUGCUACAGGAACUGUCAAGACAAGUUUAUUAUUCACUAUUUUGCUGAAUACAUUUAAGAGAAAUCAACUGCACCUUGUUUUGAAACAUUACCUAUGACACAGGAACCUCAGCCCCUCAAUCAUUUUCUGUGAUCCAUGCCUCUGCAGAUCUGUUGUUGUUUAAAAAUGUACUUGCUUUAGGGAAUAAUAUUUUUUAAAUGUUAUACACUUACCUCAGGCUCAGAUUUUUUUUUUUUACAUUACUUACUUCAAGCAGGCAGAGAGUCACUCGUGUGGAAAAAGCUAAUGUAAUGCUGCCUGAAAAAUUUAAUCUCUCAUGAAAUUAUAAUGCUAAAGAUCAGCAGAAAGUACUUGAUAAAUAAAUGAAAGUAUCUGUAUAGCAGGCAAAUUGUAGUUUCCAACAGGGUUUACCAAACUGAGGAUUUUCUGAGCAGUAAUUUUAAACGUGUUUAUUGCCAACGUUAAAAUGAUUUUUUUUCACAGCCAGGUGAUGACAAACACAGAGAUGGGAAUCACACAUUGACACACUUCUUGUAUAAUUGUGGUCGAAUUUUGUAAGAAAUCACUUUUUUUGCAAAUAAAAGUCACUAAUUAUUUGACAAAAACGAUGAUAAGUAACACUUUUCACAACCCAGCAGAUCAGAAAUAAAAAUGAUGGUGGCAUUUAUAUGCAGUACUUCUCUUUUUGACUUUUAUUAAAUAAUAAUUGCUGGACAGAUAAAUGUAAAAACAAGGUUUUCAAAAAUUCUUGCAAGAAUUCAUAGUUCAGUUAUGCACAUUUUAGUAUAUACUUCUAUUUUUGUAAGAUUGCAAUAAUUAAGAAAAUAUCUCAAACAUUACCAUUCAAUUCAAUUGAAUUCUGCCAUCUAGCAGCUUAAAGAACAAUAUAAUCAAUGACUUAUAUUUUGGGAUUUUAGUUGAUUUAAACCUGUACUUUUCAAUGCUAUGACAAUGUUGAUAAACUAAUAAAAAAAAGGUAUGAACAAUUUAGAAAUAAACUCACCUCAGCUUUUGCAAUUUUUUUUGCAAACGAGCAGUAGACGUGAACACACUGUCUUAAUUGUGUAAGACCAGUUUAAUCAGCAAGAGUGACCCACUGAGCGACAGUUCUAAAACAGGAGAGAAAAAAAUACAGGUUUUCCUUUUUCUACAAUAAAAGCUGUGGAAGUUGCGUGGGGUAGAGUCUCUAGGAAAUACACUCUUUCUUUCAAAAAAUGUCCGUGGGUAGAUACAAGAUUGGCACAACAAUGACUGAAAAUAGCAAGGGCUGAUACGCAUUGUCAGCUAGAAUUUGGGUUAAGAUAGUGACUUUUGUCUGCAAGGUGUCUGCACUGAAAAGAGGAGAUGAGAGAUGUAAAAUUCUAAUUUUCCUACCUCUGAUUAAUAAGAUAUAUGGCUGAAUAAUGAGCAUGCAGAUAUCACACAGAAGCGUUCACAAUUACCUAACUCUGUCUAGAAGUGCAUUAAAAUCCAAUGCUAACCAAAAAGGCCAAGUGUUGUUUUUUUUUUUUAGCUUUGCAAAAUUAAGUGAGUGGCAUCAAUGGUCAUAAAUGAAAGCAUUCAUCAAAGGUGUUGGCUAUGGCAAAGGAUUAGUGAAGUGUCCAGCUUCCCAUAACUCGGAAUGCGACCAGAUUCAGAAUUCCUUUAUCAUCUUGCUGCUGCAUAACAAAGGUCUCAUAUAUUUAGUGCAGGUUUGCCCUGGGCCACAUAAUAGGAUUAGGAAUAAUUUUUACAAAUUUACAAAAAACAGAUCACAUGGUAAGGCUUAGAAUUUGCUAAUAAUUUCUCCGUCCUUGAUAGAUCAAAGGGAGCAAGAGUUCUGAAGCCAAGCAGCAGUUUGACCCUGGUCAGGCUUCCUAAUGAAAGGGUUAAUCUUCUCAGAGGUGACUAUAGAGGAGCAAGUGGUGUGACCAAAGGGAGAUUGAGGAAUUAGAAAAUCAUUCAAAAGAAGACUGGGUAAUAUGACAGAAAGAGAAAGUUACUCAGCCGCUCCACCUUAACUUGUCCUCAGUGAUCUGAAAUGAUUGUCUAAAUGAUAAAUCUGCCAUAACAUCGAAACAGGAGUUACAGUUCAUUUACCUAUUGCUUUAUAUUAAAUUAAUUUAUUGCACUUUUAAUAAGAAGAGUUCAUUCUUAAAAAUAAGCCCUGGAAGACAUUUGAGAGGCCUGUCUUUAAAAAAAAAGGUUAUUGAAAUCAGUGUAUUCCUUGGGGAGAGUUGACAUCACACAGCUUCCUGCACUAACUAGGAAGGCAGGACACUGUCAGAGGCAGUAAGUCGGUGCUGCAAACCUCACCCGUGCAUUUCAAAAUCCAUAGACAGCCGUCAGUGCAAGAAGGCUUUUCCAGUGUGGUUUCAAACAAAAUGCAGAAAAGUGGAUCUGUAAACCUUGAACAAGUCAUGCAAAGGUUGUGAAGAAGGCAGGAGGGGAAAAUAAUCUUAAUAAUAACACAGUAAAGAUUUUCAAAAGACCAAAGCCCACUUAAAUUUAGCUACGAAUAAAUGUUAAUCCUGUAAACCACCAAGGUUUUAGUCUU